CAAUAGCGUAUAUUAAAGUUGUUGCGGUUAAAAAGCUCGUAGUUGGAUUUCUGCUGAGGACGAUCGGUCCGCCCUCUGGGUGAGUAUCUGGCUCGGCCUUGGCAUCUUCUUGGAGAACGUUACUGCACUUGACUGUGUGGUGCGGUAUCCAGGACUUUUACUUUGAGGAAAUUAGAGUGUUUCAAGCAGGCGCACGCCUUGAAUACAUUAGCAUGGAAUAAUAAGAUAGGACCUUGGCUCUAUUUUGUUGGUUUCUAGAGCUGAGGUAAUGAUUAAUAGGGAUAGUUGGGGGCAUUCGUAUUUAACUGUCAGAGGCGAAAUUCUUGGAUUUGUUAAAGACGGACUACUGCGAAAGCAUUUGCCAAGGAUGUUUUCAUUGA
rnacentral:rRNA from 1 species